UGAGGAAUAUUGGUCAAUGGGUGCAAGCCUGAACCAGCCAUCCCGCGUGAAGGACGACUGCCCUAUGGGUUGUAAACUUCUUUUGUAUAGGGAUAAACCUACCCUCGUGAGGGUAGCUGAAGGUACUAUACGAAUAAGCACCGGCUAACUCCGUGCCAGCAGCCGCGGUAAUACGGAGGGUGCAAGCGCUAUCCGGAUUUAUUGGGUUUAAAGGGUCCGUAGGCGGACUUAUAAGUCAGUGGUGAAAGCCUGUCGCUUAACGAUAGAACUGCCAUUGAUACUGUAAGUCUUGAGUAUAUUUGAGGUAGCUGGAAUAAGUAGUGUAGCGGUGAAAUGCAUAGAUAUUACUUAGAACACCAAUUGCGAAGGCAGGUUACCAAGAUAUAACUGACGCUGAGGGACGAAAGCGUGGGGAGCGAACA
rnacentral:rRNA from 1 species